GGAACGCCCAGGCACCGGCUGCUAUUUGUGCGACCAUCACAAUGAGUAUCACACAGAAGAACUGCAAGGAAACCGUUUAUUAAUUAAUGGGCACAGCGUGGGCCAAGUGCGUGUGGGUCGAGUGAUACUUUGCAUUUUGUAAUUGGAUUCUGCAGCUGGGCAACACUUACCGAAACAAGCAGACAUUGCGACUCGCGACAGACACCCAAACAGCCAAAGAAUGCGCCCAGAGUAAUAAAUAUGCCAAUGGCCAGGAAGACAUAGAGUGCUAUAUGAUAGUGAUUAUACGAUUGUGUCAUCGAUAGCAUGAACGUGGGAUCCGUUAGCAUCCAUAGUGAGGUGAGCACAAUAGUCAAGCCGAUUAGCUGAAAAUGGUUUUAAAAAAAUGAAUUGAAGUAACAUCAUGUGUUCUUUACUCAAUCUCAUCAAUCGUAACGCUAACAGCGAAAUGCUUCAAUGACGCAAUGUUUAUGUGUGGGUCUGUGUGUGUGUAUGUUUGCGACACGCCCCACUAGAGAGGGCGGCAAUUAAAGCGGGCAGCAAGAGUCGUGCCAAGAAUGCGAACGUAUUCCCCGGAACAUUGUCUACCCGCCGAUGGGCAUUAUGAAACAUGGUUCGUUCGUAACUCAUGAUUUCCGCAGUCGGGCCGGGCAGACUUUUAGAAAUGUUUCCAGCAUUUCAUGUCGUUAUAUUCUUGUGUUUAUUUGUUUUAAUGUGUUUACGUUUUCACGAAAUCAAGAGCCACAUUUUAUUUUCUUUUUGCUUCGCCGUUGUUGUUGCCAAGACAUUGAACCAAUCGACAAUGUGAAUGCGAAUUCAUAGCCUUAUCUUGGGGCUGGGAGAUUAUCAGGCGCGGGACGUGAAAUACGCCAGUUGAUAUUGGCAUCUGUCUACACAUAUUAAUUUUAUACUAUACAAUACUCAAAGCAGAUUAUAUUCUUAAUGAGCAGCAACAAUUAUAUGUAAAUUAAUUUAUGCAGUUUUCACUCACUUAUCGCAAUUAGCAUUAUACGAGGCGCUCAGUAAAUUUUUAACACUCAACAGCCGAGUAAAUGAUCUAUAAAAGUAUGCCUAUUAGACUUACAGUUUAGUGUUAGGCGAGUAAUGGAAAGAAAAUAAAAUCGGACUACAUACUAUAGCUAUAUAUUAUAAUAUUUAAUGAUGUAAUACAGUAAAAUACUAUUAGUUUUUGAUAUCAAACUAAAUAUUAGUAUGCAUUUAACAUCAAUCAAUGUUGCAUUUCUAUGGAAAUUGAAAUUUAUAUCAAAUAUAUGUAUGGUAUUAUAAAAUAAUUCCAAGCAUACAUGCCGAUAUAUACAAACAUUUCAGUACUUACUACUACAAUACUAAUCUCAUUUACUUUAUGUGGAAUUGUAGCAAGUGUUUUAUUAAAAUGUGCUUUAAUCACACAGCUUGCUUUUGUAUAACAGUAAUAGUGAUUAAUAAUAAUGUAAUAAAUUGUUAAUAGUAUUUGAAUAGCAAA